rnacentral:rRNA from 1 species
CCUACGGGGGGCAGCAGUGGGGAAUAUUGGGCAAUGGGCGCAAGCCUGACCCAGCAACGCCGCGUGAAGGAAGAAGGCUUUCGGGUUGUAAACUUCUUUUAAGGGGGAAGAGGAGAAGACGGUACCCCUUGAAUAAGCCACGACUAACUACGUGCCAGCAGCCGCGGUAAUACGGAGGUGGCAAGCGUUGUCCGGAUUUACUGGGUGGAAAGGGCGUGCAGCCGGGAGGGCAAGUCAGACGGGAAAUCCCGGGGCCAAACCGCGGAACUGCAUUUGAAACUGGUUUUCUUGAGUACCGGAGAGGUCAUCGGAAUUCCUUGUGAAGCGGUGAAAUGCGUAGAUAUAAGGAAGAACACCAGUGGCGAAGGCGGAUGACUGGACGGCAACUGACGGUGAGGCGCGAAAGCGUGGGGAGCAAACAGGAUUAGAUACCCCAGUAGUC